UGUCCCCUCAGUGUCCCCUGUGGCCAUCCCCACCAUGGACCUGCUGCCGCUGACCCUGACCCUCCUGGUGAUGACCACGAUGACCUCGAUGACCUCAAUGGCCACCAUGACCACCAUGAUGACCACCAUGACCACCAUGACCAUGAUGACCACCAUGACCAUGAUGACCACCAUGACCAUGAUGACCUCAAUGACCACCAUGACCAUGAUGACCAUGAUGACCACCAUGAUGACCACCAUGACCACAGUGACCGCGGCCACCACCGUCCCGGCCACCGUCCCCACACCUCUGCUGGUUCCUCUGGACAUGUCCCCGGACUCGUUCGAUGACCGCUACCGUGGCUGCGGCCGCGCCAUGACCGCGGCGCUGCCGGCCCUCAACCGCUCCGAGUUCCUCCAGGGCGGUCACUUGGCCGAGGCCUGGGCUCUGGCCGAGUCCGAGCGGCGCGUCCGGCCGGUGUCACCGGUGUCCCCUCUGUCCCCGGCUCAGCUCACGGCCCUGCUGGCCUACACGGCGCCGGUUCCUCUCCACCGGACCUUCAACGCCGCCGUCCGCUCGUCCGGCCGCUCCGGCCGCGAUUACCGCGACAAUUUCCACUUCAAGGCGUUGCAUUUCCUGCUGACCGGCGCGGUGACCGCGCUGAGGGACGCGCGGGGAGCGCGGUGUCACCGCGUGUUCCGCGGGGUGCGCGGGGUGCGCUUCCGGACGCGGCCGGGCCGGACGGUUCGCUUCGGUCACUUCGCUUCGGCCUCGCUGAGGAACCGGAGCUCCUGGAGCUUCGGGAUGGACACGGCGUUCCAGGUGAGCACCUGCCAUGGGGUGGAGAUCCGGGAAUUCUCCUUCUUCCCGCACGAGGAGGAGGUGCUGAUCCCGCCCUUCGAGACCUUCGAGGUGACAGAGGUGACAGAGGUGACACGGGUCACCGGAGCAGGGGACACCGCGGGGGACACCGGGGACAGCGGAGGGGUCACAGUGAGGAUCGGGCUGCGCUCCACCGGAGUCUUCAGCAAAUACAACUGCGAGUGGCUGAGAGGUGGGAGUGUCCCCAGGCCCCUCCCCCACCUCGGGGGGCUCCUCGUGGCCACCACAGCCCUGGCAGUGGCCACUGGGACCUUCUGAGCCACGAGGCCACCAAGGUCACCGAGGUCACCAAGGUCACUGUGGCCACCAAGGCCACCGAGGUCACUGCGGCCAUCAAGGACACCGAGGUCACUGAGGUCACUGCGGCCACUGGGACCUUCUGAGCCAUGAGGCCACCAAGGCCACCA